rnacentral:rRNA from 1 species
UCAAGUGACUAAGUGCAUGUGGCGGAUGCCUUGGCGAUCACAGGCGAAGAAAGACGCGGCAGCCUGCGAAAAGCUGCGGGGAGCUGGCAAACGAGCUUUGAUCCGCAGAUAUCUGAAUGGGGGAACCCACACCGCAAGGUGUAUCCGUAGCUGAAUACAUAGGUUACGGAGGCGAACGAGGAGAACUGAAACAUCUAAGUAUCCUCAGGAAAAGAAAUCAACCGAGAUUCCGGCAGUAGCGGCGAGCGAACCCGGAGGAGCCUAGCUUUUGAUAGUACGAACUUUAGCCGAAAGGUCCUGGAAAGGCCUGCUAUAGUGGGUGAUAGCCCCGUAGGCGAAAGAGUUGGUACGGUACUAAGGAAGCGAGAAGUAGAGCGGGACACGUGGAAUCCUGUUCGAAGACGGGGGGACCAUCCUCCAAGGCUAAAUACUCGUGAUCGACCGAUAGUGAACCAGUACCGUGAGGGAAAGGCGAAAAGAACCCCGGGAGGGGAGUGAAAUAGAACCUGAAACCGCAUGCAUACAAACAGUAGGAGCCUCACCAGAGGUGACUGCGUACCUUUUGCAUAAUGGGUCAGCGACUUACAUUCUGUGGCGAGCUUAACCGAAUAGGGGAGGCGCAGCGAAAGCGAGUUCGAAAUGAGCGUCCAGUCGCAGGGUGUAGACCCGAAACCAGAUGAGCUAUCCAUGGCCAGGUUGAAGGUGUGGUAACACACACUGGAGGACCGAACCGACUAGUGUUGCAAAAUUAGCGGAUGAGCUGUGGAUAGGGGUGAAAGGCCAAACAAAUCUGGAGAUAGCUGGUUCUCCCCGAAAACUAUUGAGGUAGUGCCUCGUGUGUCGCUCCAGGGGGUAGAGCACUGUUUUGGCUAGGGGGACAUGGAGUCUUACCAAACCAAGGCAAACUCCGAAUACCUGGAAGCGUAAGCACGGGAGACAGAGCACCGGGUGCUAACGUCCGGACUCAAAAGGGAAACAACCCAGACCGCCGGCUAAGGUCCCCAAUAACAGCUAAGUGGAAAACGAAGUGGAAAGGCCGUGACAACCAGGAAGUUGGCUUAGAAGCAGCCAUCCUUCAAAGAAAGCGUAAUAGCUCACUGGUCGAGUCCUUCUGCGCGGAAGAUGUAACGGGGCUAAGCUGUUAACCGAAGCCGCGGAUGCGCUGGUUAUCCAGUGCGUGGUAGGGGAGCGUUCUGUAAGUCUGCGAAGGCGGUUCGAGAGGACUGCUGGAGAUAUCAGAAGUGCGAAUGCUGACAUGAGUAACGUUAAAGCAGGUGAAAAGCCUGCUCGCCGUAAGCCCAAGGAUUCCUGCUCUACGUUCAUCGGAGCAGGGUGAGUCGGCUCCUAAGGUCAGGCCGAAAGGCGUAGCCGAUGGGAAUCAGGUUAAUAUUCCUGAACCUGCGUCAGAUGCGAUGGGGGGACGGAGCAUGGAAGAUCAUCCGGGUGUUGGAAGUCCCGGUUGUUGAGCGUAGGAGGUCUGCAGGCAAAUCCGCAGACGCAUCUCCAAGGCAAAGACACGUGCCGCCACGGCGGCGAAGUGAUCGGAAGUGCUUCCAAGAAAAGCCUCUAAGCACCAGUCUGAUGCGGACCGUACCGCAAACCGACACUGGUGGGCGAGCUGAAUAUGCUCAGGCGCUUGAGAGAACUCGGGAGAAGGAACUCGGCAAAUUGACCCCGUAACUUCGGAAGAAGGUGUGCCGUAGUACCGUGAGAGGAGAGACACCUUGAGCGGGAAACGGUCUCAGAGAAUAGGUGGCUGCGACUGUUUAUUAAAAACACAGCACUCUGCAAAGUCGAAAGACGACGUAUAGGGUGUGAUGCCUGCCCGGUGCUGGAAGAUUAAUUGAUGGGGUGAGAGCCCUUGAUCGAAGUCCCAGUAAACGGCGGCCGUAACUAUAACGGUCCUAAGGUAGCGAAAUUCCUUGUC